rnacentral:misc_RNA from 1 species
UUUCCGUAGGUGAACCUGCGGAAGGAUCAUUAUUGUAUAACCGAGGUGCGAGGGCUGUCGCUGACCCGAAAGGUCGUGCACGCCCGAGUGCCCUCACACACAUCCAUCUCACCCCUAUGUGCACCACCGCGUGGGUACCCUUCGGGAUCAUCUCGGAGGGGGGCUCGCGCUUUCACACAAACCCCCCUUUUAAAAGUGUAGAAUGACCACAUUUAUGCAAUCAAUACAACUUUCAACAACGGAUCUCUUGGCUCUC